GGAUUUCGACGGGGAUUUUGAACUGCGAUAAGCGAGUAGUGGAGUCUGACCACUAUAAAACGGACGGUUUAUCAAAAAUAAACGACAAAAACGAAACAGCACUUAUGGCUGCUUAAUUAGCGGCGAGCAUUCCCCCAGGAGUACUGCGGCCUGGUACGGAGUGUCAUUUAGCAGUAAAUGUGAACGGAUAACCGCCUUGUAGUCCGUCACACAUAACAGGGCUACCGAAAUGAAUGCCUGUUUGUCGGCUGUCACGUAGGGAAUUUUAGUAGAUAAACUACGCUCGUAGAAAGUUUCAGGAAUAGAUUUUCGGACGUGGUUUCGAUUACCACCAUCUCCACCA
rnacentral:tmRNA from 1 species